rnacentral:rRNA from 1 species
AGUGAACGCUGGCGGUAGGCCUAACACAUGCAAGUCGAACGGCAGCACAGUAAGAGCUUGCUCUUACGGGUGGCGAGUGGCGGACGGGUGAGGAAUACAUCGGAAUCUACUUUUUCGUGGGGGAUAACGUAGGGAAACUUACGCUAAUACCGCAUACGACCUACGGGUGAAAGCAGGGGAUCUUCGGACCUUGCGCGAUUGAAUGAGCCGAUGUCGGAUUAGCUAGUUGGCGGGGUAAAGGCCCACCAAGGCGACGAUCCGUAGCUGGUCUGAGAGGAUGAUAGGCCAGAGGGGGAUGAGAGCGCGGUACAGACGCCUACGGGAGGCAGCAGUGGGGAAUGUGGGAAAAGGGGCGGAAGGUUGUGACAGCAAGGACGCGGGGGUGAAGAAGGCCUUCGGGGUGUACAGCCCUUCUGGUGGGAAAGAAAGGCUGCGGGCUAAUACCCGUCGGGCCUGACGGUACCGUAAGAAUAAGCACCGGCUCACUUAGUG